rnacentral:lncRNA from 1 species
AAUACUUUGCUAACCCCAGCGUCUAUCUCUACUGAAUUAUUGGCAACUAAUCAGUGACUAUACUGAAAAGUACCAUAUGUCAGAAAAUUUUUUUUUGACUCAACCAGCUUCCAUUAUAGGCAGUAUUAAGCCCAUACAGCUGUCCCAGUGACCCUAGAUUUCCAAUGUACACCUAUAGAACUAUGACCAUUAAUUAUUUCACUUGUUCAUAUAGUUCACAGGAAAAGCUGUUGUUAAAUCUUCACAAACUUGAGUCCUAAAAACAGAGCUUCAACCUAAACUUUGUUUGCAUAGGAAAUGAGGCAAAAAGUUAACUGAAAUUUUAAAAGGAAGAGGUAAUUUUUAAAAACGAUUUUGAAGAUUGAAUUUUCCUGACCAUUCUUGAAUAAUUAUGGACCUAUGACAAGUUUCAUUUGAAAUUUUCACAGAUGGUGUUCGCGUUGCUGCUUCAACAGGAAUAGACCUCCUCCUCCUUGAUGACUUUAAGCUGGUCAUUAAUGACUUAACAUACCACGUACGACCACCAAAAAGAGACCUCUUAAGUCAUGAAAAUGCAGCAACGCUGAAUGAUGUAAAGACAUUGGUCCAGCAACUAUACACCACACUGUGCAUUGAGCAGCACCAGUUAAACAAGGAA